UCAAUUCUGUCCAGUUGCUGACAAUGGUGCCAGUACUGGAGGCUGAGAUUGUACUGUUUUAUUGCUCUACACAAACAAAGUGCUAAUCUGGACUUAAGGCUCCAAGAAAGACUCUACAGAUGGCACCAUGGCAGAGAAGCUCUGGCAAGAAUAUUUGCAAAAUGAGAUAAGAAAACUGAGUCCAGAGAAACUGAGUGAGCUGUCUCCUCAAGAUCACAAAGCAGAACCGAGAACCAAACUCCUAUCAAAUGAUUCCAAAUCCCAUUGUCUGGCUGCAGCUCACAGG